rnacentral:lncRNA from 1 species
CUUUUGGCAAGCUCCUGGACUUCUCGGAUUUGUUCCUGCAGAACCUUCGACGACCGUCCGGACUUCCGUCGAGCUCUCGAACUCCCAACGUGAUCAUAGUAUUUGACUCCGGCUCAACUCCUGCUGCAUGUCUUACUUUCAUCGUAGUUAAUCUUGCACACUUAUCUCAACAUAUGAAUUAGAUAACAAAUGAUAAUUGACUUCAUCAUCAAAAUCCGAGCUACAACAGUUGUUUCAUAUGAAACCAAACGAGACUAUUGGAGACAUGCACAC